rnacentral:rRNA from 1 species
GACGAACGCUGGCGGCGUGCUUAACACAUGCAAGUCGAACGGAAAGGCCCUGCUUGCAGGGUACUCGAGUGGCGAACGGGUGAGUAACACGUGGGUGAUCUGCCCUGCACUUCGGGAUAAGCCUGGGAAACUGGGUCUAAUACCGGAUAGGAGCCAUUUUUAGUGUGAUGGUUGGAAAGUUUUUUCGGUGUAGGAUGAGCUCGCGGCCUAUCAGCUUGUUGGUGGGGUAAUGGCCUACCAAGGCGGCGACGGGUAGCCGGCCUGAGAGGGUGGACGGCCACAUUGGGACUGAGAUACGGCCCAGACUCCUACGGGAGGCAGCAGUGGGGAAUAUUGCACAAUGGGCGCAAGCCUGAUGCAGCGACGCCGCGUGGGGGAUGACGGCCUUCGGUUGUAAACUCCUUUCGCUAGGGACGAAGCUUUUUGUGACGGUACCUAGAUAAGAAGCACCGGCUAACUACGUG